rnacentral:rRNA from 1 species
UGCAGAAUCCCGUGAACCAUCGAGUCUUUGAACGCAAGUUGCGCCCGAGGCCUUUUAGGUUGAGGGCACAUCUGCUUGGGCGUCA